GAUGAACGCUGACAGAAUGCUUAACACAUGCAAGUCAACUGUGGCGGACGGGUGAGUAACGCGUAAAGAACUUGCCUCACAGCUAGGGACAACAUUUGGAAACGAAUGCUAAUACCUGAUACUGUGAGAGAGCUUUGCGUCCCAUUAGCUAGUUGGAGAGGUACCGGCACACCAAGGCGAUGAUGGGUAGCCGGCCUGAGAGGGUGAUCGGCCACAAGGGGACUGGGAAACGACCCUUAGGCAUAAGGGAGGAAGCAGUGGGAAAUAUUGGACAAUGGACCAAAGUCUGAUCCAGCAAUUCGGUGUGCACGAUGAAGUUUUCGGAAUGUAAAGUGCUUUCGGUUUAGAAGCGGUACCAACAGAAGAAGUAACGGCUAAAUACGUGCCAGCAGCCGCGGUAAUUC
rnacentral:rRNA from 1 species